ACUUAAAUUGAAGAGUUUGAUCAUGGCUCAGAUUGAACGCUGGCGGCAGGCCUAACACAUGCAAGUCGAGCGGUAGCACAGAGAGCUUGCUC
rnacentral:rRNA from 2 species